rnacentral:rRNA from 1 species
AUAUUCGCAUCGAUGAAGAACGCAGCGAAAUGCGAUAAGUAAUGUGAAUUGCAGAAUUCAGUGAAUCAUCGAAUCUUUGAACGCACCUUGCGCUCCUUGGUAUUCCGAGGAGCAUGCCUGUUUGAGUGUCAUUAAUAUAUCAACCUUCUCUUAUUUGAGUUGUUUGGAUGUGGGGGUUUGCUGGACUCUUAAAUGAUUCAGCUCCCCUAAAAUGCAUUAGCAGAACAACCUGUUCAUUGGCGUGAUAAUUAUCUAUGCUAUUGAAUGUGAGGGCAGUUCAGCUUUCUAACUGUCCUUGGACAAUUUAUCAUUAAUGUGACCUCAAAUCAGGUAGGACUACCCGCUGAACUUAAGCAUAUCAAUAAGCGGAGGAAAAGAAACUAACAAGGAUUCCCCUAGUAACUGCGAGUGAAGCGGGAAAAGCUCAAAUUUAAAAUCUGGCGGUCUUUUGGCUGUCCGAGUUGUAAUCUAGAGAAGUGUUAUCCGCGCUGGACCGUGUACAAGUCUCCUGCACCUGC